GAAUACCUACGGGGCGCAGCAGUAGGGAAUUUUCGUCAAUGGGCGCAAGCCUGAACGAGCAAUGCCGCGUGAACGAGGAAGGUCUUCGGAUCGUAAAGUUCUGUUGAAGGGGAAAAAGAGCGGAGAGAGGAAAUGAACUCCGAUUGAUAUUACCCUUCGAGGAAGUCACGGCUAACUACGUGCCAGCAGCCGCGGUAAUACGUAGGUGGCGAGCGUUAUCCGGAAUGAUUGGGCGUAAAGGGUGCGUAGGCGGCCUGCUAAGUCUGGAGUGAAAGGCGGGGGCCCAACCCCCGGGCU
rnacentral:rRNA from 1 species